AAGUCGUAACAAGGUUUCCGUAGGUGAACCUGCGGAAGGAUCAUUAACACUUUUUCAAAAAGUUUUUUCUUUAAGAAAAACUUAUUCUACCCACCUUUUGGAUGAACUUUUUUGAUGGAGAUAUGACAAUAUUUUGUUGUUAUAUUCUUUAUCAUUUUAUUCAUUAUUUCAAACUUUUUAACCCCAAAACACCAAUUUGUUUACAAAUUGCUAUUGAAAAAGCCUAACAUGUGUGUGGGUUUGCUGUGUGAUCAAUGCAAGUUGAUCACCUCCACCAAACUUAUCACUCAAGAAAUCCUAAAAACUAAGAAAACAACUCUUAACAACGGAUAUCUUGGCUCUC
rnacentral:misc_RNA from 1 species